AUGUACAUACCUACAACAUAGAAUUAAUGUACUAGAUCCCAUUAGAACUCUGCAGUUAAUCACACUCAGGAUAGAGUAGUACUGGGAUGGGUGACCACCCAGGAAGUCCUAGCGUUUUACAUU
rnacentral:rRNA from 1 species